AUGAACGCUGGCGGCGUGCCUAAUACAUGCAAGUCGAGCGAACAGACGAGGAGCUUGCUCCUCUGACGUUAGCAGCGGACGGGUGAGUAACACGUGGAUAACCUACCUAUAAGACUGGGAUAACUUCGGGAAACCGGAGCUAAUACCGGAUAAUAUAUUGAACCGCAUGGUUCAAUAGUGAAAGACGGUUUUGCUGUCACUUAUAGAUGGAUCCGCGCCGCAUUAGCUAGUUGGUAAGGUAACGGCUUACCAAGGCAGCGAUGCGUAGCCGACCUGAGAGGGUGAUCGGCCACACUGGAACUGAGACACGGUCCAGACUCCUACGGGAGGCAGCAGUAGGGAAUCUUCCGCAAUGGGCGAAAGCCUGACGGAGCAACGCCGCGUGAGUGAUGAAGGUCUUCGGAUCGUAAAACUCUGUUAUUAGGGAAGGACAAAUGUGUAAGUAACUAUGCACGUCUUGACGGUACCUAAUCAGAAAGCCACGGCUAACUACGUG
rnacentral:rRNA from 1 species